UGGUCGUUUUAACCAAAAAUAAUUGGUUGUUUUGACCAAUAAAUAAAUGGUCAAUUUGACCAAUUAAUUUUUUGGUUAAAACGACUA